rnacentral:rRNA from 1 species
ACGCUGGCGGCACGCCUAACACAUGCAAGUCGAACGAAGUAGCAAUACUUAGUGGCAGACGGGUGAGUAACAUGUAGGUAUCUGCCCUUUGGCCUGGAAUAACACGAGGAAACUUGUGCUAAUACCGGAUAAGUCUUUACGGAGAAAGCUUUAUGCACCAUUGGAUGAGCCUGCACUUGAUUAGUUUGUUGGUGGGGUAAUGGCCUACCAAGACUGUGAUCAAUAGCUGAUUUGAGAGGAUGAUCAGCCACAUUGGGACUGAGACACGGCCCAAACUCCUACGGGAGGCAGCAGUGGGGAAUCUUGCACAAUGGAGGAAACUCUGAUGCAGCGAUGCCGCGUGAGUGAAGAAGGCCCUUGGGUUGUAAAGCUCUUUCGUCGGGGAAGAAAAUGACUGUACCCGAAUAAGAAGGUCCGGCUAACUUCGUGCCAGCAGCCGCGGUAAUACGAAGGGACCUAGCGUAGUUCGGAAUUACUGGGCUUAAAGAGUUCGUAGGUUGUUGAAAAAGUUAGUGGUGAAAUCCCAGAGCUUAACUCUGGAACUGCCAUUAAAACUUUUCAGCUAGAGUGUGAUAGAGGAAAGCAGAAUUUCUAGUGUAGAGGUGAAAUUCGUAGAUAUUAGAAAGAAUACCAAUUGCGAAGGCAGCUUUCUGGAUCAUUACUGACACUGAGGAACGAAAGCAUGGGUAGCGAAGAGGAUUAGAUACCCUCGUAGUCCAUGCCGUAAACGAUGUGUGUUAGACGUUGGAAAUUUAUUUUCAGUGUCGCAGCGAAAGCGAUAAACACACCGCCUGGGGAGUACGAC